UACGAAGGGGGCUAGCGUUGUUCGGAAUUACUGGGCGUAAAGCGCACGUAGGCGGACAUUUAAGUCAGGGGUGAAAUCCCGGGGCUCAACCCCGGAACGGCCUUUGAUACUGGGUGUCUUGAGUUCGGAAGAGGUGAGUGGAAUUGCGAGUGUAGAGGUGAAAUUCGUAGAUAUUCGCAGGAACACCAGUGGCGAAGGCGGCUCACUGGCCCGGUACUGACGCUGAGGUGCGAAAGCGUGGGGAGCGAACAGG
rnacentral:rRNA from 1 species